AAAUUAAUAAGCUAAAUAAGCUAUUGGAUUCAUAAUUCAAUGAUGAAUUAGAAGUAGUUCUUAAUUUA
rnacentral:tRNA from 1 species